rnacentral:rRNA from 1 species
UACGUAGGGUGCAAGCGUUGUCCGGAAUUAUUGGGCGUAAAGGGCUCGUAGGCGGUCUGUCGCGUCGAAAGUGAAAACUCAGGGCUUAACCCUGAGCCUGCUUCCGAUACGGGCAGACUAGAGGUAUGCAGGGGAGAACGGAAUUCCUGGUGUAGCGGUGAAAUGCGCAGAUAUCAGGAAGAACACCCGUGGCUAAGGCGGCUCUCUAGUACGGUACUGACGCUGAGACGCGAAAGCGUGGGGAGCAAACAGG